rnacentral:miRNA from 1 species
UGUUAGUCUGAACUCGGUCUAGU